CCUACGGGGGGCUGCAGUGAGGAAUAUUGGUCAAUGGACGCAAGUCUGAACCAGCCAUGUCGCGUGAAGGAAGAAGGCCCUAAGGGUUGUAAACUUCUUUUGUAGGGGGGUAAUACUAUGCUCGUGAGCAUGGAUGAAAGUACUCUACGAAUAAGCGUCGGCUAACUACGUGCCAGCAGCCGCGGUAAUACGUAGGACGCAAGCGUUAUCCGGAUUCAUUGGGUUUAAAGGGUGCGUAGGCGGGCCUUUAAGUCAGUGGUGAAAGUUUGCCGCUU
rnacentral:rRNA from 1 species